UGAAUGUAGCAUUUAAAUCAUUUACUAACAAAUAUUUAAACGAAUAAAUCACUGCGUUUCCGACUUUGACCACGUGACUGGAAAGUAACCAAUAACAGCUUGGAACCCGCUGCCAUAGCAACCUGUGUUAGAAGCUCCCAGGUGCUGGUUAAGCUGGACGCCCAGUUUAACAGCUAACCGCAGUCCGAUGGUCAGAACCAGAAAAAGCACUGGCAGAUGAUUAACACACCAUGUGAAUGGAAAAAGCUUUAGUCUCCUACUGUAAACCUACAAGGUGGACCAAGAAGCUUUAGCCAUGUCUGUAUCAGGCGGCCAAACUCCGAAGCGCUCAGGCAAUCAGCGCGAGUUGAAGGAACUUCUGCGUAGUGUGGAAAAAGCGCACAAAGCAGACAUCCAGACCUACAGCUCAGGUCACCUGGGUCCUAACCGCCUCACUCAUAAACCCCUCGACUGCAGGCCACGCAAGCCCAUUUGGAACAAGCCCAAGUGUAAAGACAUGGGCCCUUCUCGCGUUCAGGAAAGGAGCAAAAUGGAAGCUAGCGUGGAAGAAACGAUUGACGUCCUGCACAGUUUCACCAUAGCCACCACGCAACAGAAGCCUAGGAUCCAGGAAAAGCCAGAAAGUCCCAGUGGGGAAUUGCUGACCGCUGAUCUGAGAGGAGCUCUGGACAGGACAGAGGUAGCUAAGUUGAGAAAAGCAAAGCAGGAAACUUGUGCAGUGUCUGGCAUGGUGGAACAGGACAGCUGCUUGUUCACACACUCACACGAAGCUGGGCUCACCUGGAGGCAGCACUUUGACACGCAGGUUUUAAGGACAAAAGACCUGACCACCAGGAAGUGUUUGAGUGGUAGAGAAGCAGCAAAGCGGCAUGAGCGCAAACUUCAGCAGGCACUGAGGAAACUUCCUGCCAGCGGAGGUCCCUGCAGAGAGCGCCUCACAGUAUUUAGUGAUGUCUUUGAUGACGUGUGUCACGGCUCACCUGCAUUCGGCAGCGUCCUCCGAGAAAUCAAGACAGAGUAUGAUUUGUACACGAAGUCACUCCUUUCCUCCCAGUCACCUCUUCAGGAUAAGUCUGCAUGUACCCCCUUCGGAGUCUCCACAGAAGCAACAGAGUUAAAGGAAGCAGCAAAGCGAGUGUUAUUACUGGAACAGGAAGCCUGGAGAGCUCUAGAGGAAAAUGACAGGUAUUAUUUUAUAAACAUUUUGAUUUCACUGUGCAUGUUGCUCAAAACAAUUCAUAGAAGAUUGUUUUUUUCCUUCAGAGUCAGAAUAGAGUAUGAAGAUGCUCAAGCCAAAGCCUUACCAGACCAGAAGGAAAAUGGGGGGUCAGAAAGCCGCGAUACUGGUCAGUGUGAUGAGGAUGUGUUCUCGGGAGUGAAGCAGUGUGAACUGUCCUCCAUCGCUCAAGUGGAGGCUAAGAGACAGCAGGUGUGGGAAGUGUGGAAUGAGGUGCAGAGGCUUCAGAAAGACAUCAGAGAGACGAUGGUGUCCACUGUUACCACCAGCACUCUUGAGAACUGCAUCAGAGACUCAGAAGAUGAAAUCAUGAACUUUGCUGCUUCAAAUGUGCUUCUACAGAGAACCAGUAAGGAUCUCAAACAAAACAUUUCAGUGGUCCUGAGCAAAGCAAAAGUCAGCGAGGAGACAAAGAAGCAGGUUUGGGAGGAGAUAUGGACAACACUGAAUGGACACGAAUAGGACACAAAAAUUGGCCGCUUUGUUACUCUGACUUCUGUUUAAACAUCUCCGAGGGGUGUUGAGUUUCCAGUGCAUGACUGUACUUUAUCCAAAGUGAAGGAGAGAUGACAGAAUUAGGGUCUUCAGCUAAAGAAUAUAAAAUGAAGUGGCUUUUAUAUUAAAAGAAGAGCAAGAUCUAAAAACUAC